CCUUUGGACUGUUAUAGCAAACAAAAGUAGUAUGCUUUAUUACGAAAUUGGACAGGUUGAAUAAGGAA
rnacentral:sRNA from 12 species